rnacentral:sRNA from 1 species
AGGGCAGGGGGGUAUCCGCGGUCCCACGGCGGUUCCUGUCCUUCGACCGGCCGCGCGGCCCUGCGCGGUCGCUGGUUGUCGCUCGGGGGUGAUCGCCG